rnacentral:rRNA from 1 species
UGGUGGAGCAUGUGGUUUAAUUCGAAGCAACGCGAAGAACCUUACCAGGUCUUGACAUCCUUUGACCACUCUAGAGAUAGAGCUUUCCCUUCGGGGACAAAGUGACAGGUGGUGCAUGGUUGUCGUCAGCUCGUGUCGUGAGAUGUUGGGUUAAGUCCCGCAACGAGCGCAACCCUUAUUGUUAGUUGCCAUCAUUUAGUUGGGCACUCUAGCAAGACUGCCGGUGACAAACCGGAGGAAGGUGGGGAUGACGUCAAAUCAUCAUGCCCCUUAUGACCUGGGCUACACACGUGCUACAAUGGACGGUACAAUGAGUUGCGAGACCGCGAGGUUUAGCUAAUCUCUUAAAGCCGUUCUCAGUUCGGAUUGUAGGCUGCAACUCGCCUACANGAAGC